rnacentral:rRNA from 1 species
AUACGGAGGAUCCGAGCGUUAUCCGGAUUUAUUGGGUUUAAAGGGUGCGCAGGCGGCCAUUUAAGUUAGCGGUUAAAUCGUGGGGCUCAACCCCAUUCUGCCGUUGAUACUGGGUGGCUUGAUUGCGGUCGAGGUUGGCGGACUUCGUUGUGUAGCGGUGAAAUGCAUAGAUAUGACGAAGAACACCGAUUGCGUAGGCAGCUGACCAGACCGCAAAUGACGCUCAUGCACGAAAGUGCGGGGAUCGAACAGGAUUAGAUACCCUGGUAGUCCGCACAGUAAACGAUGAAUACUUGUUUUCGGCGAUAUAAUGUCGGAGGCAAAGCGAAAGCGAUAAGUAUUCCACCUGGGGAGUACGCCGGCAACGGUGAAACUUAAAUGAAUUGACGGGG